CCGGGAGAGAGAGAGAGGAGAGAGAGAGAGAGAGAGAGAGAGAGAGAGAGAGAGAGAGAGCGCGUUGCGCCACCGGAAGUUCAAAACGCUUGUUCGUCACGUGAUUCAUGUACACUUCAAGAAGUUAUUUGCGGGCUUUCUUAAACUUCUCGCACUACACCACCAUGUCCCUUUAGGGGCGCCGUACCGCUACAGCCUGGCAGAGGGUAUAUAAACUGAGGUUUGAGUCCAGCGCGCGCAUAACGGUCGUCCCUGCUGAGAGGAUCUCCAGACAGCGAGUGAGUUUUCCUGAGUGUCCUGAUUCUUUACACCUCUUGUCGUGAAAUCCAGACGACGCUCUUCAGGAAAAUGUCCACAGACUCCUGCUGCUACUGGCUCAGAUGUCAAGUUUAGUCAUGUGUCUGAUUUCUCUUUUCAUUUUUAAACUCUGAGAACUUGUUGAUAAUUAAAUAACCAUUACAACACUAUAUACAACAAGCAGAACACUUCCCAGCAAACACACCACCCUCUGAUGAUGACAGUGAUGUCACCACGUCUUGGUAAAGUUGGCAUUUGAAUAUAAUAUGGGAAAUUUACUAAAUGUAUCAAACAUUUUACUUAAAUACAUGAAUCGAGGUCUGAAUUUGAAUUUUAUUAUCUUUUGAUGUUUGUCAUACAUCAAUGGCAAAUCUCUGCAGCAAAAUGGUAAUUUACAACACCCAACAACCAUUCUGCUUAGUAAAUGGUGAUUAUUCAUAAUAUUAUAUCUUUGUGAAUGAAAGAGAUUUUUAAAAUGCU